rnacentral:rRNA from 1 species
GUCUUUUUGAGUUAUUUUUAAAGUCUAACCUGCCCACUGAAUAUAUUUUUAAAUGGCCGCAGUAUUCUAACUGUGCAAAGGUAGCAUAAUCAUUAGUCUUUUAAUUGAAGGCUGGAAUGAAUGGUUGGACGAAGUAUAAGCUGUUUCAUAUAAAAUUAUAUUAGAAUUUUAUUUUUUAGUAAAAAAGCUAAAAUUUUAUUAAAAGACGAGAAGACCCUAUAAAUCUUUUUAUUUAAUUUUAUUAAAAUUUUUUUGAUUUAUUUUAUUUUUAUAUUUUUAAAUAUUUUGUUGGGGUGAUGUUAAAAUUUAAAAAACUUUUAAUAAAUAAAAAAAUCAUUAAUUUAUGAGUUAUUGAUCCAUUAUUAGUGAUUAAAAAAUUAAGUUACUUUAGGGAUAACAGCGUAAUUUUUUUUGAGAGUUCAUAUCGACAAAAAAGUUUGCGACCUCGAUGUUGGAUUAAGAUAAAUUUUUAGGUGUAGCCGUUUAAAUAUAAAGUCUGUUCGACUUUUAAAUUCUUACAU